rnacentral:rRNA from 1 species
GAUGAACGCUGGCGGCGUGCCUAAUACAUGCAAGUCGAGCGAACAGACGAGGAGCUUGCUCCUCUGACGAUAGCGGCGGACGGGUGAGUAACACGUGGAUAACCUACCUAUAAGACUGGGAUAACUUCGGGAAACCGGAGCUAAUACCGGAUAAUAUAUUGAACCGCAUGGUUCAAUAGUGAAAGACGGUUUUGCUGUCACUUAUAGAUGGAUCCCGGCCGCAUUAGCUAGUUGUUAAGGUAACGGCUUACCAAGGCAACGAUGCGUAGACGACCUGAGAGGGUGAUCGGCCACACUGGAACUGAGACACGGUCCAGACGCCUACGGGAGGCAGCAGUAGGGAAUCUUCCGCAAUGGGCGAGAGCCUGACGGAGCAACGCCGAGUGAGUGAUGAAGGUCUUCGGAUCGUAAAACUCUGUUAUUAGGGAAGAACAAAUGUGUACGUAACUAUGCACGUCUUGACGGUACCUAAUCAGAAAGCCACGGCUAACUACGUG